rnacentral:sRNA from 1 species
GUUCGCGCGCGUGAGAAAUCGCGCCGCGCUGUAGUAACCCGCCCCUCAUCCGCCUGCCGGCCCCUUCUCCCCACACGAUGGGGAAAGGUGCCGGCAGGCCGGAUGAGGGGGGCGACCGUGC